CCUACGGGUGGCAGCAGUGAGGAAUAUUGGUCAAUGGGCGGGAGCCUGAACCAGCCAAGUCGCGUGAGGGAUGAAGGCACAGCGUGUUGUAAACCUCUUUUGUCAGGGAACAAAGUCGCGCACUAGUCCCGUUAUGAGGGUACCCGGAGAAAAAGCAUCGGCUAACUCCGUGCCAGCAGCCGCGGUAAUACGGAGGAUGCGAGCGUUAUCCGGAUUUAUUGGGUUUAAAGGGUGCGCAGGCGGCCGGUUAAGUCAGCGGUAAAAGUCCGGGGCUCAACCCCGUCGAGCCGUUGAAACUGGGUGGCUGGAGUUGGAGAGAAGUACGCGGAAUGCGCGGUGUAGCGGUGAAAUGCAUAGAUAGCGCGCAGAACCCCGAUUGCGAAGGCAGCGGACCGGCUCCAAACUGACGCUGAGGCACGAAAGCGUGGGUAUCGAACAGGAUUAGAUACCCGUGUAGUC
rnacentral:rRNA from 1 species